rnacentral:rRNA from 1 species
AUACCAGCUCUCCGAGUGGUGUGGACGUUUAUUGGGCCUAAAGCAUCCGUAGCUGGCUGAACAAGUCCCCUGUUAAACCCACCGAUUUAAUCGUUGGCUUGCGGGGGAAACUGCUCGGCUAGGGGACGAGAGAGGCAAGCGGUAUUCUCGGGGUAGGGGUGAAAUCCUAUAAUCCCGAGAAGACCACCAGUGGCGAAGGCUGCUUGCUAGAACGCGCCCGACGGUGAGGGAUGAAAGCUGGGGGAGCGAACCGGAUUAGAUACCCGGGUAGUCCCAGCUGUAAACGAUGCAGACUAGGUGUUUGGACGGCCACGUGCCGUUCUAGUGCCGCAGGGAAGCUGUUAAGUCUGCCGCCUGGGGAGUACGAUCGCAAGAUUGAA